rnacentral:lncRNA from 1 species
UGAUUUAGAUUCAUCAUGACCUCGAAAUGCAAAUCCCCGACUUAUGAGAAGUCUUACUACAUCAACCGACGCACUUAAGCGCAUAUAAUAUCCAUGCUUGAGUUGAUUAGAUUGCCUCUCAAAUGCAAAUUGAAUAGACCGUCGUUGUCAUAGUAAAUCUUGACAUUUCUUUUUUGACUGAUUAUGUAUGCUAUUCGGUAGACCAAUAUGUUUGUCAAGACCACCCUUUUUGUUCCAACUCUUAAAUCCUAUAGUUGAAAAUGUCUCCCCUCCUCCUUGAUUAGUGUUAUGAUCUUUAAAAAGAUAGCAAUACAAACAAUAGACUGCAUCUUUACUAACACUAUACUCCAACCAAUCAUGAUAUAUAUCAUCAAACCAUUCAUGAUUAAAACGACGCAUUGAUCCAAAAAUAUAUGUUUGAGGAUACUCUUGCACCGCCAAACAAGGUUGACAAGGACCAUUCAAAAGGUAUGAUCUUCUAAUAACAUCACGGUGGUUUGGAUGAUAGUUCAAUAUUGAUGUUCUUUCACCAGGAUCAAACUUUAAAGAACUCAAAUCAAAUUCUUGAGAAGAAUCUAACGACACUUCUGAAUGAUUAGUAUUUUCUUUUUGAUUAGAUUGACUAUAACUUUGAGAGGCUAAAGUUGAUUUCGGUACUUGUGUAAAAU